GAAAUUGAGCAAGAAAUUGGGAAAAGAUCAGGGAAAAUUCUGAGGAAAUAUGGAAGAAAAAACUUGGGGAAAAUCGGAAAAACACCGAGAAAAAAUUGGGAAAAACGUGGGGAAAAUUCUUGGAAAAAUUCCGGAAGAAUUAGGAAAACAUUGAGGGAAAUUCUGAAGAAAUUGAGGAAAAAUUGGGGGAAAUUUCAGAAAAAAUCAGGGGAAAUGUGGGAAAAAUCAAGAAAAAUUCGGAGGAAGUUUGGGGGAAAAUUCGGGGGAAAUUGGGGGAAAAAUCAGAAAAAAUUUGGGGAAAAAUCAGGACAAAAUUGGAGAAAAGAUUUCAGAAAAUUCAGGGAAAUCUGGGAAGAAUUUGGGGAAAAUUAGGGAAAAAAUCAGGAGAAGAAAAGGGAAAAAUUAAGGAAAAUUGGGGGAAAUUCCGAAAAAAUUGGGGAAAAAUUUGGGAAAAAUCAGGAGAAUGUUGGAGAAAGUUUGGGGAAAAAUUGGGGAAAAUUCUGGGAAAAUUCAGGGAAAAUUUGAAAAAGUUUCAGGGGAAGUUCAGGGAAAAAUAGCGGAAAAUUUGGGGAAAAUGCAAGGAAAAGUAGGGAAAAAUUUGGGAAAAAAAUCAGGGGAAAGUCAAUGAAAAUUUGGGAAAAAUUCAGGGAAAAUUUGGGAAAAAAUUUGAAAAAAACCUGGGAAAUAUUAGGAAAAAUUUGGGAAAAACACAAGCAAAGUGGGGAAAAAAUUAGGGAAAAUUUGAUGAAAAUCUGGGAGAAAAUUGAGAAAAAUGCAGGGAAAAAUUGGGGAAAAAAUCAGGAAAAACCACGGGAAAUUUGGGAAAAAAUCAGGGAAAAUUUGGAAAACUUUUCACUUUUUCAGUUUAUGGUGGGAAUAGAUGGAAAACGUGGAAUAUUUUUGAUUUUGGCAGCGUGGAUAAGCGGCGCCGGGAGCAGGAGCAGCGCGAGCUGGCCCAGCUGCUCUCAAUGGGGAAUAUUUGGGAUAAAUAAAUAAAACAUGAAUUAUUUAUGAUUAUUUAUGAUUAUUUAUGAUUAUUUAUAAUUAUUUUAUU
rnacentral:lncRNA from 1 species